ACAAGCAGGUUGUCUAGGGAUAUAUCAGAUCUCGAAGGUGGUUUUCCCAGCGAGAGGCCCCUGUGCUUUCCCCAAAUGUGGGAACCUCGACCGCAUGAUUUGUGGUAGCAGAGGUUGGUUGAUAAAAGGUAACAGUCCUCUA
rnacentral:snRNA from 1 species